rnacentral:lncRNA from 1 species
ACCUCGUUCCGCAAUAGAUGCUGGCUAAUGAUAACAUUUUUUUUAUCUGUAUAUGGUUUCUAUGACCUCCUAGUUUCAACUGAUUGAGCUAGAUUUAUAUCAGAUGCAGACAAGGUUCCCGACUGAUCAACAUCAAGUUCCUCGAAUUCCUCCAUGAUAAGUGAAAUAUCAUCUUGGCAAAUCUUCCCCAUCUCUUUAAGUUUGAAAAGAACAAACUCAGCAGCUCUGUAGAAAUGAAGCAAAGAAAAAGUGAAAGCUGUUAAUAAGCCGCUAACACCUGUGUAAAGAAAAGAAGAUUAUGAUGGAACUGCAGAUCACAGAAUCUUAGCUCAUAAUCUGCAAAUCUCUUACCCAACAACACCAUCAUCAUCAAGAUCAGCUGCCUCCAAAUCCACAUUUGUCAUUCUUCGGCUAAGAACCCACUUCACCAGUGCUCUUUGUCUCUUCUCUGUAUUUAGCUCGGCAAUGUAGAUGAAAAACUGAGCCAAGCAAAUAGUACCAGCUAGGAUCCAAAAUACAGCAAAAAUACGCCCCUCUUCGGUUGAAAAGCUUUUAUCCCCAUAGCCUAAGGUUGUGAUGGUAGAACAAACGCAAUAGAAUGCAUCGAUUAGAUCUAAAUUCUCAACUUUUGAUAGGAAGAUCGUACCGGUUAAUAUAAGCACAAUGAGCAGGAUCAAGGCCAUAUAAAACUUGUAUUUCAUCCUGUUGUUUUCAAUCUCCUUUAGAAUCUCAAGUUGACCAACUUUUUGAUGCAUAUGUAAGGCUUUAACCAGCAAUGUUUCUUGCUUCUCUACCAAGUAAUCUGCAGCUUUGGUCAGUACAAGUCCAAUCAGAGCCAUUCCUGUGAAGACGAAAGCACAGGCUAGUAGUUUUGUAAGGUUGCUGUUAGGAACCAGGUCUCCAUAUCCAACAGUUGUCAUUGUAACAACACAGAAAUAAACAGCAUCAAGAAUCCCAUUUGUUUUUUCCCCUCUGAUUUGGUUCCUGACCAUAUAGAAGCAAAUGGUGCCUACACCUAAGUAUACUGUCAAGAAUAUGGCUACCUUCUUAAAACUUGGGUGAAGACUCCCGAAAACGGACUCGGAACGUGGAAGUGAAGCAUUGCCAUUGACACCACAAGGACCAAACUCGGCUAACGGAGCACUUCUAACACGUCUAAGUCUUCUUAUCCUUGGUGCAUCCCCAUUACUCUUUUGAGUUGUCGAAGUUGCUGAUCCUGAUAGCAAGGGCUGGUUUGCACCAUUACAGGCCAUUAGGAAGAUUCAGCAGACAUAGAUCACUACCAGGAGCCCUGCAAUAACCAGAUACAUAGAUUUCAAAUCAACCAAGCUCUCAAAUUAUGUAAAUAGCUCAAUUGUUUGCAAACAAACAGGAAUCGAAAAUGUGCAUCUGGCAUUAGGAAGUACAAGGCUACCAGCCUUUAAAUGAAAAAAGGGAGUCAGUGAAACACUGAAACCAACCCAGCAGCAUGGCUCUUUGAUCUGCUAAUUAUCAUGUGAUCUUUUCUUGUUUUUUUGUUUAGAAGUCGAUCUACUCAGCCUCCAAAUUCUGAAGUUUCAUGCAAUUACAAAUAACAUUUAGGAUUUAACUGAAUUCAUCCCAAUUCAGCUGCUGUUCUUAACCCAAAUCCUCUUUAAAUCCAUGAGGAGUAGAAGCAUCCAAAAAAAAAAAAAGAUGUAUUCGAACCAAGCCACUACCAACCUCAACAGUCAAACUUUAGAACAUUAUCUGCAUUGAAGCCAAUGUUUGGUCCCGAAAACUAUGAACUUUACACAUGUUCUGUCCAUGGCCAAGAUCUGUAAGAUCUUUAUAAAGACCCUUAGUAAAAAGUAUCAAAGACCCUUUACUCAGAAUCAACAAAAAAACUGCCAGAGGCCGAUAUAGAGAGCUAUGCGUAUAGAACAGGUUUUGAUGAAAGUUCAUAAUGAGCUUAGAAUUAUAGCUGAAGAUAAAGAUCUAAACUUCAAAGUCAUUGGAUCACUGAAAGAUGGAUUCCAACCAAGCAACAACUACAAUGUCAAUCUUAAUAACAUUAUCUAGCCAAACUAUGAACUUUUCACAUGUUCUGUCCAUGGCCAAGAUCUGUAAGAUCUUUAUAAAGACCCUUAGUGAAAAGUAUCAAAUUGAAUAUUAUGAUAAGAGAAGAUCUAAAUUCUCUAAAGACACUAGUACGAUUGAUAUUCUUUUUGAUGGAAAUCAUCACUUCUUUUGGGAUGAAUCCGACUGAUGAUCAACAUCAAGGUCCUUGAUCACAAUAUCAAUAUCCUUCAUGGCAAUUGAGAUAUCUUCUUGCUUGAUCUUUCCCAUCUCCUUCAGCUUGUAUAGAAUGUAAUCAGCAGCCCUAUAAAAAAACCGAAGAACAAAGGAUUCUGACACUGUUAGAUGAUUGUCUCUUAUGUAUAGCUUUGCUUCUUUGUGUACAAUUCACGAUCCUGAAUACAAGAGUUCUCUUGUCAUUUAUGGAAGCUAUAUAUGAGCAAAACCGGUUUCAUUUGAACAAGGAGAUCUUAGUAUCUUACCCAUAAACCUGGUCGUUUUCAGGAUUAUCAGCUGCUUCCAGGUCUUUCUUGGCAAUGAUGUUGUUAGUAAGAACCCACUUGACUAGUUUCUUGGUCUCGAUAUCUGUAUACACCUCUGCAAUGUAGAGAAGCAGCUGGCCUAAACAGGAAGUACCUGUGGCAAUCCAAACUAUACCAAACGUGCGUCCGAACUCACUGGAGAAGCUCUCAUCUCCGAACCCGACGGUUGUCAUAGUGGUGCAAGCACAGUAGACUGCAUCAGUGAAAUCCAUUCCUUCGACUGUAACCAGGACGAAGAUCCCAAUGACGAAAUGCACCGCCAUGGCAAUCAACGAUAUCAGGCACUUGGUGUAGUCUAUUUUCAGGUUCUCGAUCUCCUUCAGGGCUUCCAUCGGACCCAGUUUUUUAGACAGGUGCAGGGCGUUAACCAGCACCAUCUGCUGCUUCACGACCAAGUAACUUGCAGCUAUUUUCACUACUAUCCCGACCAGGCACAUUCCCACGGUUAUGAAAAUGCUGCAGAUGAGUUGGGAGACGAAACUGUGAGGAACGAGGUCGCCAUAGCCGACCGUGGUCAUUGUCACCACGCAUAGGUAAAGAGAAUCGAUGAAAUCGUUCGUUUUAUGCCCUCUGAUGUGGUUCUUGAGUGCGUAAAAGCUUGUCGUGCCGACACCUAUGUAGAUACCAAAGUAGAUCCCCAGCCUCUUAAGGUCCGGGCAAUCUGUCCGAAAAAUGAUCGGAGGGGUGCAAUUUGCAGCUGCGGGAGUGGUUUUGCAACUCUGAGAGCUUGUUUUCUCGGGAGCAUUUUCAUCAUUUGUUAAGGUUGGAGAGCCUGCAGCGAUUGGCAGCUUGGCCUUCUUUGCAGCAUUGGAGGCCAUUGCAAUGAUUGAGUUGAAGUGACCCAGCAUUUAGCCCACCUGCUACAACCAUCACAACAUAGAAUUUCAUAGUUAUAAUACUUGAUUGUAGACACGUACAUAACUUCAGACAGCUAGAAAAUAGAAGAAAUCUAGAUAUUGAAAGUAUAGCAAAUACCAGGAAAUGGCUCAAUAGACAAAGGGUUAAAAUAGAAAUCUGGCACCAAGCUUGGGUUCUUCACUAACAAUGCUGAGAAGAAGGCCUUGGGAAGUUUUCAGCGGGAGAGAGAGGAGACUUACCAGAGGGAAGCUAGUAGGAAAUUCAAUAUAAAGUGCUUACAAGUAGAGUGAAUUUGGGUUCCAAACACAUUGGAAAGUUCCUGGAAGAUUCCAAGCUGAUGUCUUUUUCUGUUGCAAGACUUUGAUUUUGCAGCUUGAAGUGAAAAGGGCUUUGUCUAUUUUUUUGCUUUAGUGCCAGAUUAUGGGAAGUUUCGCAUAGAGAACCAAAAAUGCGAAAUUUCAAUAGUUCAUGAGAGCCUUGAUGAGUCUAUGCCAAGUCGACAUGUUUGAUCUUAAUUAUACAAAAUAUGAUUGAAAUCUACAAGCUUAUUUUUGUACGCAGCAGAUAUUAGCUACAAGAAUAAAAGCUGAUGAGAGUACAUUCAGAUUCUUUUCAUAUUUGUUUCCAGGAUUUACUGUAGUUUUUACCCUGUAGAUUUCAAUGGAUCUUUUUGGCCUGAAAAUACAGAAAACAAAGUUGAUUCUUCAUCACAAUUGCUGGGAAUUGUUGCAUUUCGUCGCAGUUGAUGCCACAAAUUGAUAUACAGAACUGCUUUUGAUAUAUGGCUUUUGAUAUUUGAGCAUGAAAUGGCUUGCCAUCUAAGUUUAGAACUUGUUUACGUAACAAGCUUUUCAAUAUUUACCUCGAAAUGAAAGAGACAUCUUAUUAUAUAAACCGAUAAAGAGUUCAAUGUCAAUAACCAUUCUUGCUUAUUGUAAUCUAACAAUUUACAAUUAUGAUACUAUUAAACUACGAUACCAUUACGAUACUAUUAAGUCAAGUUUCCAGGACAGAGGAAUCACAGUGUGCAGUGGCUUAGAACAAGUUUCUGGUCCAUCCUGAAGGAUUAAUGCUUCUACGAAUCCAAAAGGAAAAUCAAACUGUCGAUGUUUCUUUUAGUUCCUAGCUCAGCAAAAAUAUGUAUAUUGACAGAGGGAAAAGAAGUUCAAUACAACCUGUUUAAAUCCGAUUAGUCAUUCGAAUUACAGAUUUGGUGAAUAGCUCUAAGAUUAUUCACCUCGUUCCGCAAUAGAUGCUGGCUAAUGAUAACAUUUUUUUUAUCUGUAUAUGGUUUCUAUGACCUCCUAGUUUCAACUGAUUGAGCUAGAUUUAUAUCAGAUGCAGACAAGGUUCCCGACUGAUCAACAUCAAGUUCCUCGAAUUCCUCCAUGAUAAGUGAAAUAUCAUCUUGGCAAAUCUUCCCCAUCUCUUUAAGUUUGAAUAGAACAAACUCAGCAGCUCUGUAGAAAUGAAGCAAAGAAAAAGGGAAAGGUGUUAAUAAGCCGCUAACACCUGUGUAAAGAAAAGAAGAUUAUGAUGGAACUGCAGAUCACAGAAUCUUAG